GAUGAACGCUGGCGGCGUGCCUAAUACAUGCAAGUCGAGCGAACAGACGAUGAGCUUGCGCCUCUGUCGUUAGCGGAGCACGGGAGUGAAACACGUGGAUAAUCUACCUAUCAUACUGGGAUCACUUCGGAAAACCGGAGCUAAUACCGUAUAAUAUCUUGCACCGCAUGGUUGGUUAGUGAAAGACGGUGUUGCUGUCAGUUAUAGAUGGAUCUGGGCCGCAUUAGCUAGUUGGUAAGGUAACGGCUUACCACGGGAACGAGGCGUAGCCGACCGACGAGGGUGAUCGGCGACCUGGGAGCGGAGCCACGGUCCAGACUCCUGCGGGAGGCAGCAGUAGGGAAUCUGACGCAAUGGGCGAAAGCCUGGCGGAGCAACGGCGCGUGAGUGAUGGAGGUCUUCGGAGCGUAAAACUCUGUUAUUAGGGAAGAACAAAUGUGUAAGUAACUAUGCACGGCUUGACGGUACCUAAUCAGAAAGCCACGGCUAACUACGUG
rnacentral:rRNA from 1 species